rnacentral:lncRNA from 1 species
CUGCUCUUGCAGAGGACCCGGGUUCAGUUCCCAGCACCCACUUGGUGGCUCUCGGGCAUCUGUCACUCCAGUUCCAGGAGUUCUGACGCCUUCUUCUGCCUCCAUGCCCAGUGCUCACAUGUGGUCCACAGACACAGAUGUGGGCAAAACAUCCACACACAUAAAAUAAAAAAUAAAUACUUCUUACAAAGAAAGGCAGGCAUGAGCAUGGUUGACUGACAGGUAGUGCUGGGUGAGACCGUUAGGUCCUAUCUUUAUUCCUUCAGUGUCUUCGGGACUUCUCAAGCAAGGAGAGUUGACUUUUAUGGAACCGAUGACAAGCCACCUACCUACCCAUUCACCCUUGCCCUUAUUUUAAAACCUUUCUCUUUUAACAAGAUAAACGUUAUGUUACCGAGGUAGCUAUAAUCCUACAUUUGAGAACAAACCCACUUCCCAUCUUCUGUUGAUUGCUUGCAGCCAUGUGACUCAGUUCUGGCCAAUGAGAUGGGCGCACAGAGUUGUAAAGCUGCUUACCUGGGUCUCCAGGAAGCUCACUUAGAAGAACAGAUAGAUGGGAAAAACUGGUCUCUCCUUCACCUUUCCAGUUCCCUACCUAGAAUUUAACGCCACAACAACUUUGUUAUCCUCUCAUGUGUUCAUUAGCAUAUAUUAGUUAUACAAUAAGGAAUUACAUUAGUGAAUUUGUAUAUAUUUUGAUCAUAUGGGCCCUCAUUACUCCUUCUUGUCUCCUUCCCACUUCAGCUGAUCUCCUUCCUUUUCCCAAGUAAUACCCCUUCCACUGUGUGUGUGUGUGUGUGAGAGAGAGUGUGUGUGAGAGUGUGUAUAAGUGUGUGUGAGAGUGUGUGUGUGAGUGUGUGUGAGAGUAUGUAUAAGUGUGUGAGAGUGUGUGUGUGUGAGUGUGUGUGAGAGUAUGUAUAAGUGUGUGUGAGAGUGUGUGUGAGUGUGUGUGUGUGUGAAUGUGUGUGAGAGUGUGUGUAAGUGUGUGUGAGUGUGUGUGUGAGUGUGUGAAAGAGUAUUGUGAGAGUGUGUAUAAGUGUGUGUGAGAGUGAGUGUGUGUGUGUGUGUGUGUGUGUGAGAGAGAGAGAGAGAGAGUGUGUGUGUACUGGUAUGUGUAUGAGUGUGUGUGUGUGAGUGUGUGAGUAUGUGAGUGUGUGUGUGUGUGAGAGAGAGAGUGUGUGUGUGUGUACUGGUGUGUGUAUGAGUGUGUGUGUGAGAGUGUGUAUAAGUGUGUGUGAGAGUGUGUGUGUGUGAGCCUGUGUGUGUGUGUGUGUACUGGUGUGUGUACGAGUGUGUGUGAGAGAGUGUGUGAGAGUGUGUGUGUGUGAGUGUAUGUGUGAGUAUGUGUGUGUGUGUCCCAGUGAGUUGCUUUCAGGAGCGUGGAUGACAGAUUAACAACGAAGCACCUAGGGCGAAUCAUCAAUCAAGGAAUUGAAUCUGCAUUGUGUGGCAGAGCUGUUAUCUCAUGCUUGGACGACCACAUCUGGAUUUCUCACAGGGUGAUGGAUGUGGCUCUAACUUCAUACUUCUGAAUGUCGACAUCCAUUUCCCAAGCAACUUUUGUUGAAGACACUGUGUUUUGCUCCGCAUGGUUUUUGACUUUGUCAGUUGUCAGAAGGCUCUAAUGAUGGCGAUGUUCUCAAGGGCAGAGAGGACGAUCCGUUUGCCUCUAGGAAGUUCAUUCCUUUUACACACGUAAACAAACAAAACAAAACCUACUAGGCACUAGGACCUUAUGACUAACCACAUGACUCAUUUCCAGCACACGCGUGUGCGCGCGUGCACACACACACAUUUGGGUGGUGUGGGAGGUGCAGUCAGACAGACAGGAAUACACCUGUCUUAGUUGCUUAUCAGGCCUGGGCUGUAGCUCAGUUGGUAGAGUGCUCCCCUAGCUCAACCCCAUAAAGCUGGCAUGGUUACAACACACCUGUCUCAGCACUCAGGACUUGGAGUCAAGAGGAUCAGAAGUUCAAAGCCAUCCCUGACUACAUAUUGGAUUUGAGAUCAAAGUAGAAGAAUAUAUAUUUUCUUCCCCCAAACAGCCAGCAAUCUUACAAACUUCAGGGAAGAGUUCAUUAAAAACGAUUCUAGGCGCUGGUGAGAUGAAUCUGUCAGUGAGUAAGGAUGGUUGCCGCCAAGCUCAAGGACAUGAACUGAAUCCCGGUACCCGCAUGCUGAAAGGAGAAAAAGGGGGUAAGAGGGGAGGAAGAAAGAGAGAGGUCGCGGGAGAAGGCCAAGGAGCAAGCCACAUGCUUCAAA